rnacentral:rRNA from 1 species
GAUGAACGCUGGCGGCGUGCCUAAUACAUGCAAGUCGAGCGAACGGACGAGGAGCUUGCUUCUCUGACGUUAGCGGCGGACGGGUGAGUAACACGUGGAUAACCUACCUAUAAGACUGGGAUAACUUCGGGAAACCGGAGCUAAUACCGGAUGAUAUUUUGAACCGCAUGGUUCAAUAGUGAAAGACGGUCUUGCUGUCACUUAUAGAUGGAUCCGCGCUGCAUUAGCUAGUUGGUAAGGUAACGGCUUACCAAGGCAACGAUGCGUAGCCGACCUGAGAGGGUGAUCGGCCACACUGGAACUGAGACACGGUCCAGACUCCUACGGGAGGCAGCAGUAGGGAAUCUUCCGCAAUGGGCGAAAGCCUGACGGAGCAACGCCGCGUGAGUGAUGAAGGUCUUCGGAUCGUAAAACUCUGUUAUUAGGGAAGAACAAAUGUGUAAGUAACUAUGCACAUCUUGACGGUACCUAAUCAGAAAGCCACGGCUAACUACGUG